rnacentral:lncRNA from 1 species
AUCUGCCUCUCCUAUUAGUUUCCUUCUAAACUUCUAUCCUAUUCUUCAUAUAUAACUUAUAUCUAUUUCAAGUUUCUAUAACAUGUAAACUAUGAACUCUCUCAUUCAAGCUAAGUAUGUUGCUCAACCGCUUCCUUUCUUUGUUGUCUUGCCCAGAAUACUCCUUACUCGUGCUAUUAGUCUCUCAAUCAGAACCUCACAAUCCAUUUUGAUAGUUUUCGAGCAGAUAUUGGUACUCCAAGAUAUCUAAAAGGUAGAGUGCCUUUUGCAUAGCCAGCUAGCUCUAGUAAGUCUGCCUCGCAUUGGAGUUGCAUGCUCACACUGAAGAUAUUUGAUUUUGCUACAUUUGUAUAUAAUCCAUAAGCAUUGGAGAAUGUCUUUAGUCCCCCCCCCCCCCCCCCCCCCCCCCNNNNNNNNNNNNNNNNNNNNNNNNNNNNNNNNNCCCCACCUCCCCCACAGCAUAAGGAGAAUAGACUGGAAGUCCCCUUUGCUAAAUAAUAAUACAUCAUCUGCAAAGCAUAUGUGAUUCAGCCUAAGACUUUUACACUUCGCAUGAAAUCCAAACUCCUGAUGUUUUACCACCUGGUUCAUUAUUCUUGUAAAGUAUUCCAUGCAUAUGACAAUUAGAAGAGGAGAUAUAGGAACCCCUUGUCUCAGCCAUCUUCUACCUAUUAUAUUUCCAUACAACCCCCAUUCAUUGCAAUACAAUAUUUGGCAGUUGUGAUACAAGUCAUAGUCCACUGGAUAAAUGAUGUGGGAAAUCCAGUGCGUGCAACAUCUCUUCCACAAUUUCCCAUUCAAUAGUAUCAUAUGUUUUUUUCAAGUCGAUCUUUAUCAGGAAGUUACUAGUAGUGUGUUUUACAUUAUACAAUCUAACUAAAUCCUAGCAAAUAAGCACAUUCUGGGCAAUAGACCUUCCUGCCACUCUGAUUAACAUAAAUGAUAUCUGGUAGUACCUUCUUCGGUCUAUUGGAUAACAUCUUUGAAACUAUCGUGUAUAUUGUGUUGCAACAUGUUAUAGGUCUAUUGUCACCAUCUGUUUCAGCAUGAUCCUUCUUAGGCACUAAAGUGAGUAAAGUUUCAUUCCAUACCUUUAAAAAAAAUCUAGUUCUGAAAAAUUCCAUCACACCAGCUAAAAGGUCAUCCUUAAUGGUAUCCCAACAGUCUUUAAAGAACUGACUGCUAUAGCCAUCUGGACCUGGGACUUUAUCACCUUCUAUCUCACAUAGAGCUGUUUUCAUCUCUUGUUUAGUGAACUCUUCUACAAGCAUCUUCCCGUGCUCCCUCGAUAAUACUGGGCUUUCUUUUACAGUUGAGCUACAAACUCCGGUUCAGUUAGUGCUUAAGGAUCCCAGUAAUGAUGUGUAAAAUUCUACAAAGCUUUGUGCUAAUCCAUGGUAAGUCAUUAAUGAUAUCUCCAUUGUUGUUCCUAAUUAUGAAUAUCAUAUUGGUAUUUCUUCUUGCAUUGAGAAUACUAUGAAAGAACUUUGUGUUCAAGUCUCAACAGUUUAGCCACUGGAUCUUACACUUCUGUUUGAAGUAUUGGUUUAUGGCUAGAUUAUACUUCUGAUACUCUUAUGUUAAUCUCUUUUCAUACUCUAUUAGUUGUAGUUUUUUAGGGUCCUUAUUUAAUUUACUUUGACAUUCCUCUAGCUCCUUCUUGAUCUUUUCUGUGUUGACUUCCACAUCACUGAAGUUUGCUUUGUUUAUUCUCCUAGGUGGAUUGAGUCUGUUCAACUUUCCUACCAAAUCAAAUACUUUUGAACCAUUUAUACCUCUCUCCAAGCUAAGUUUAACUGCCCCCUAAAAGUUUGGUGCCUGACUCCACACGUUGAAGUAUUUAAAUCUGCAUUGGUUUGGUUGCUGCCCAAUUUCCCAAUUUAUCAUUACUGGACAAUGAUCCAUUAACAUUUUAUAAGUGUACUUCAGAGCUUGGUAGGGUGCUAAUCCAGUCACUAUUAACUAGGACUCUAUCAAUUUUACUAUAAACUGUGCUACUGUCCCCAUGCUUGUUAUUCCAUGUGUAGAAUGACCCUGAUGAUCUCAAAUCCUUUAAAGAACAAACUUGAACACAAUUCUUGAAUUCUCUUAUUUCCGACAGAGAAAAAAGACUACCAAUUCUCUCAUCCCUGUUGAGAACACAGUUAAAAUCUCCCAUUGCUGCCCAUGCCCCAUGUUUUGUACCAUGCAUCCCCAUAAGUUGUUGCACAGUUCUCUUCUUAAAACAUAAUCAUUGAACCCAUACACUAGUGUCACCUGAAAUAUCAACCAAGUCCCUCUAUGUAUCAUUUUGCGACCAAAACACUCACACAAGUAUGCACGAUCGACAAGUAAUAUAGUACUAAGUAGAGUAUCGUUCCCACGAGGAAUUAUAAUUAACUUCUUGAUUGAUAACUCAAAUAAUUAUCAAUUUAUGCUAUACUAUUACAAAAGGUUUAAAGAACCAAUUUACAACUCACUUAAUAAGUGCACAAUAAUUCAACACAAAAUUACUACACCAAGUUCACAAUAUGUUUAUAAUAAUUUGGAUAAAUAUAUUCCCGGGUCAUGAACUUGCUAAAAAUUAUGCUACUAUAUUAUCUUAAAAUUGAUUUAUCGAAUUAUCCGGGUUAUUGAUUAUAGGGUUAAUAAUAUUCACAAAGAAUCAUUCGAGUUCUUAUGCAUCUAUUCAAGUUAAAUUAAUACCUAUAUAUCUAUGGUAUUAAUAUUAGCAAAAAUGCAUUUAAAACUCCUAUUCUUCAACCAAACAAGGCAAUUAAGUAUAUGUCUAUCUUAAUUGCGAAUUCUUCACCCGAUGCCCGAGAUUUAAAACUUGUCCUAUUUGAGUCUAUACGAAAUCAAGAAUUUCCUUUGUCAAGUCUAAUUCAAGACUCGUAAAUAAUAUUUCACUGUUAGCUACGCAGUAAAAUAAUUAAGAUUAAAAUCAAAUAAACAACCCAUAACGAUAAAUUCAAUAUAUUCAAUCUAAACUUCAAAUAACAUAAUUAUCUAACGUCCAUGACCCAAGAAUACU